GGAAGACGUCCCUCAGGGAGAGAAAUAGAUCUUGCAUGCAAUUAAAAAAACGAUAUAAAAAAAGAAAGUAACGACUGUCACGUAGCCAAAUGGAACGGCGUAAAAGUACCGUUCUUUCUUCAAAUUUAUACUCAAGUAAAAGUAAAAACGAGCCCUUUCUGAAGUCGUCUCCCGGCGGCUCAGGCCUAAGAGCCGACGUACGCGCCAGGCGGGAGGAACGAGCCGGGAGGAGACAAAGAGCUCCCUGGUCAUUAACCCUGCCCAUCGGGAAACCCCAUGACAAAUAAAUAAACAAACCAGCUAAACAAAGCACGAGAGAGAAGGGAAAUGGGAAACAAUGUGGGUUAAUUUUCAGAUCUGGUAAUCUCCCAAAUUCAUUAACCAAAGCCCUGCGUCUGAUUGGCUGCGGCUUUCCACGCAAGGCGUCGAGUUGUUGCGAUGCGCAACAAUGAAUAAGUGAUAAGCUGUUGGGCUAAUUUGCGAAGUGACACAACUUUUAUUAUUUAUGCCGCAAACCCCGUUGAAUAACGCGGGGGGACUGUGGGUAACAAUGAGCGAAGGAGACAAGAUUGUGUCGGUGGAAUCCACUUAGAACGCUUACAAUCAAGCCUAAUUUACAUGAGCGGCCCCCACCCUUCAGCUGACAUUGGGCUGGCGCCAUUUGGGGACGGAGGACUCAGACUUCCAGAGCAUACUGAUGCUCGCCAUGGGGCCGGGAGAAAAGCUUAAUGCCCCCGGCUCCUGGGAGGGGGGAACAAUACGACAAAGAGACACACACUCUACCGCUCGCCACAUCGACCUCUGAAGGAUUUGAGAGUCACACAAGUUAUUCUGUGUGCUUUUUUUUUUUUUUUUUUUUUUGAGAGACUGAAUCAUUGUGUUGUAAAAUGCCGUCAGGGGGAUAUUUCCUUGAAGACCAAUGGAGGCGAAUAACAAAACAACAGCAACCAAAUGCAAACGUUCCCAUUGGUUAACCUUCCACCCUGAUGUAAAACCGAAUUCUGAGUGGAAAGCUUGUUGGCAGCUUUUCACGUAUGGCUGUGAAAGUGUUGAAGAACUCUUCAGUUACACAUAACAGCA
ensembl:lncRNA